CCUUUCAGCUGGGUUUGUCUGCAAAUCUGCAUACUGGCUUAUGAGGGACCCCCUUUGCAGUUGCCAAUUGCAUUGGGAGCCUUAUUUCUCCCCCUAUUUGAGGGCUCCCCAACUCCUUUUAAGUAAGUGCAUCCAGCAGCUCCAGUCCCAUGGUCUCCUCUGGACUGAGCCGUUGCCGUCUGGCCCUGGCAUUUGCAGUGUUCAUGGACGCUGCGGGCACCGGGGCACUGCUGACCGGCAUCUUCGCUAGACUGAGGCUGCGAGGCCGAGACUUUGGGGAUCUAUUAAUCUACUCGGGUGCGGUACUGGUAUUCCUGAGCCUGUUGGGUUGGAUUAUGUGGUACACGGGCAAUAUUGAGAUAGCCCCUGAAGAACUGGCGAGGGAUUAUCAUGCCAAGAAAGGCACUCUGGCACGACUGGCUAGGAAGAUCUCGCGGACCUGGUCGCGACGCCAAGGUGGUGGGCUGGCCAUGAGGACCAUUCCAACUAGCCGAGAAGCAGCUUAGAGAUUUCCACAUGAUGCCAGCAUUUUGUGGAAUUGCUGUGAAAGAGCUGGCUUCCAUUAGUGAGCAAGCGUCUUUUAAUUUUUUGGCUGCAGUCCCCAUCUGCGGAGAUCUUGGAACCCAGGAAAAUAAAAUCUGUCACUACCUCCAUUUCUUCCCCAUCUAUCUGCCAGGAAUUAAGAAGGACAGAUGCCAUGAUUUUAGUUUUCUUAAUGUUAAGUUUCAUUAAAUAUAUAUAAUUUUGCCAACUCUUGUUACUGGAAUAUAAUUCUGGGUUUUAUACAGAUGAAGAUUCCUAAAUAUGUAUAUUCCACUAUCACCAUCACUUCACGUGUGUAUAGAGUGUCCUCAAAGCUUUGCCCUUCAACCUGAGACACCUCUGACUAUAUUCCUCCAAUCCUAGGAUUGUCAGUCAGGUUUCCCGGUCACAACUACAUGCACUGGGUUUUUCUCAUUCCCAGGAAAUGUUCCGUGGAAAACAGAGGUGGGAUUCUCUUACCUUCCCUACCGGUUCGCAAAUGUGAGUGCGCACUCCUGCUUUGCUCGCAUGCCCCUCCUCUGCUCAUGCACACGGCCUUCCGCACAUGCGCAGUGCUCACACAUUAUGUCUGGGCAGGUGGGCGGAGCCUCCCACAGUUGCCACUACCGAUUCGCCAGAACCGGCUGAAUCCAAACACUAGUGGAAAGAGAGAGGUUUGGAUAUCUGAUGCAUAGAUCAGUUAGGAGUCCAAAGUAGACAGUCCUACUUCUGUGGGGUCCUUGGUGCUCUCUGAGCUUGGUUGUUUACUUGUGGACAUUUCAUUACCCAACUAGGUAACAUCAUCAUGAAGGUUAAUGAAACAUCUGCAAGAAAACAAUCAAUCUCGGAGAAUAUCAAGGACCCCACAGUUCAACCCUGAGCUACAAAUAUUCUCUUCUAUCAGUCCUAUUUCUCUUUGACCUCAUAUCCAGAACAUAAGCACUGAGGAAUCUACUGUAUGUACCAUGUCCUUGUUCUUUUUAUGGGCAAUCCAUGGUAAAAGGCAGGUGGGGAGGAGAUAAAGGCAUAGAAAGUAAAAGCUGUUCUCACAGCAGAAGCGAGAAUGAAAUUGUGGACUUCCCGUUCCAUAGUUCAUAUGUUAGAGUUUCAACUGGCCACACCUGCAGUGAACAAUCCACCUCAUUUUAAGAUAUAAGGAAGGCUAAUAUCUUUCUUCCUUGCAAAGAGAGGGUCAUUUAGAAAUGCAGUUCAAAUCACUUACUAUACAAGUAGUCCUUGACUUGCCACCACAAUUUCAAUGUUGCUAAGCGAGAUGGUUGUUAGGUGAGUUUUGCCCCAUUUAACAACCUUUCUUGCCAUCAUUGUUAAGUGAAUCAUUGCAGUUGUUAAGUUAGUGACACGGUGGUUAAGAGCUUCCCCCCCCAUUGACUUUACUUGUCAGAAAGUCACAAAAGGGGAUCAGAUGACCUCAGAAGAUUGCAACCGUCAUAAAUUUGAGUCAGUUGCCAAGCUUCUGAAUUUUGAUCAUGCGACCAUGAGCAGGGGUCUCCAACCUUGGCAACUUUAAGACUUGUGGACUUCAACAUUCAGAAUUCCUCAGCCAGCAAAGCCAAGGUUGGAGACUCCUGACCAUGAGGAUGCUACAACGGUCCUAAGUGCAAAAGAAAUCUGGUCAUAAGUCACUUUUUUCAGUGCUGUUGUGAUUCAAUCGGUCACUAAACGAGCUGUUGUAAGUCAAGGACUACGUGUAAUCGAGAAGGCGGGGAAGAAUUGUGGAUGAACUUCUUCGUGGCUUCUGCUUCCUUAAACCAAGGUCUGUUCUUUGUCUUCCCUUGAAACAAAGGACUGAUUUCAGACUCUCAGAUAUUUUUUUUUCUAGGCGCCCUACUGGACCGGACAAAGGUUCUAUAGGAUUAAGCAGUCUCUUUCCUGCGAUAGCCUAGAACUGUGAUGGCGAACCUAUGGCACGUGUGCCACAGGUGGCACACACAGCCAUAUUGGUGGGCAAGUGAGUUCAAAAGCAGGCCUUCCAAUCCCACGGGCAGUUUCCGGCUUCCGGAAGGAGGGGGAAGGCUGUUUUUGCUCUCCCCAGGCUCUUAGAAAGGCUCUGGAGCCCGGGGAGAGCGAAAAACGGGCCUACUUGGCCCAUCAUGCCAUUGCAUCCCAAAAGCAGGGGGAAUGUGGGGGGGGGGCGCGUCAGGCGCAUAGAAUUAUGGGUCUGGGCACACACAUGCGUGACUCCCCCCACUUUUGGCAUGCAAGGCAAAAAAGUUAGCCAUCACUGGCCUAGCAGCUCCUUUUAGAACUCGGUCCUCCCUGUUAUUACGUUCCUCACUGACUGCUUUUGUUUAUCUUUCAGCAUCCUCAUUAAACUUUUAAAGCCACAUAUUCGGAGACAGGCCACAGAUAUCAUUUUUCAUGUCUGGAUGAAACCGGAGGCUUCCUCCUGUUGCUCUGCCUUGGAUGGCCUUGGCUUGCAAAUACAGUCUCCUUUACUAACAUAUACAUCAGGGGUCCCCAACCCCACAACACAGGGCUGUGCAAGCAGCUGGGCCAGCGCAUGUGCAGUGGUGGGCUGGUUCCCUUCUUCCCCACACUGCCGGGCUGCCAAGCCAUAAAGGUUGGGGACCACUGAUCUACAUCAUUGGUUGAAUACAACACAACCAUCAGCCAUCACAUGACUUUAAAAGGCCAACCUCUCUGCCUGGCCAAAUGACUUCCCCAGAGCCUACUUCAGGGGUGAAAUCUAAAAAAAUUCCCUACCGGUUCUGUGGACGUGGCUUAAUUGGUGGGCAUGGGGCCGUGGUGGCUCAGGCUGUAAGAUAGCCUGUUAUUAAAACACAGCAGCCUGCAAUUACUGCAGGCUCGAAUCCCACCAGGCCCAAGGUUGACUCAGCCUUCCAUCCUUUAUAAGGUAGGUAAAAUGAGGACCCAGAUUGUUUGGGGGGGCAAUAAGUUGACUUUGUAAAUAUACAAAUAGGAUGAGACUAUUGCCUUACACACUGUAAGCCGCCCUGAGUCUUCGGAGAAGGGCGGGAUAUAAAUGUAAAUUAAAUAAAUAAAUAAAUAAAUAAAAAAUGGCUUGGUGGUCAGGUGACUGAAUGGGCAUGGCCAAUAAUAAUAAAUAACAAAAAUAAUAAAGUCUACAAAACUUGGGAGCUCACUGGUCUACCUUCUUUAAAAAUAGAGGCACCAGUCUACCAAUUGCCUUUUUUUGGGAGGCACAGGUCUACCUUCUUUAAAAUAGAGGCACCGGUCUACUAGCCACCUACAGCGCUGAUCAGCUGUAGUGCGGCCCUUUGAAGCACUGCGGCAGUCAUUUAAGGCCGUUCGCAGCUAUAUCACCACCGAGAGCUUCAGGAACAGAGAAGAGGAAUAGCGAGGUGUGGACGGUGAGGGGGGGCAGGGAUUUUUGCUACCGAUUCUCCAAACUACCCGGCCCCAUCGCUACCAGAUCGCGUGAUCCAGUCUGAACUGGGAGCAUUUCACCCCUGGGCUACAUGGGACCUCUUUUAAUAAGUUCUGGUGACUGUGUGCAUUCUCCCUCCCUCCCCACCCUCUCUCACACACACACACUCAUGUGAUUGAAUUUCGGGCACUUGGCAACCAGCUUGCAUUCAUGGCCAGUUGCAGUGCUCCCGUGAUCACAAAAGACUGCGAGUUCUCCUGUGUUUUGUGGGUGUUCGACAUUUAUUUCCGGCAAAAAUACCAAUUGCAGAAAGCAGGUUUGCUUAACAAUUGCUGUGCUCACCUAACAACCACAGUGUUUGCUCAAACACAGGGAAAAAAAGGUGCAAAAAAAUUCAGGCAGUUACAUGGUGACCUGCUUAAUGAUUGCGACGACUGACAAUUGUAAUUCUGGUCUUAAUUAUAGUCAUAAAUUGAGGGGUAUCAGUAACAUUUCCAGCAUUUCCCAGAACAAAAUCCUAAAAGCUUUAACCAAAAACUCUCUACUAUUGACCUCACCCCAUUCCUAAGAGGACCAUAAGAGGCGUGCAUAAGCGCACAAACGUGCCUACCGUUCCUGUCCUAUUGUUUUUCUUUUCUUCUUCCUAUAUAUAUAUAUAUAUAUGCUUAUACCUCCUUAUAUUUACUCAUAUAUGUGUUUAUAUAUUAUAUAAUCUUUUUGUACGAUACCUACAUAUAUUGUUAUGACAAAAUUAAAUAAAUAAAUAAAUAAAUUUAUCUAGAUCAGAGGUCUUCAAAUUUGGCAGCUUUAAGACUUGUGGACUUCAACUCCCAGAAUUCUCCAGCCAGCUAUGCUGGAUGGAGAAUUCUGGGAGUUGAAGUCCACAAGUCUUAAAGCUGCCAAAGUUGAAGACUUCUGAUUCACAAGUCUUAAAGCUACCAAAGUUGAAGACCUCUGAUCCACAAGUCUUAAAGCUACCAAAGUUGAAGACCUCUGAUCUAGACCUAUCGAUAUGUUAUAUUACCUGAAUUCUGGGUCUUUUCCAUUCUUUCCAUGAGAAACCGAUGUGGGCAUCUUCUGAGCAAAAUUUGCCCCUUAAAUAGAUCAUCUCUUUCUUCCUGAUCUGUCUUAAGCUCAGGGCUUGAAAAUUAUUGACUCUUUCCUCUCUUAUCCCAACCUAAUCAUUAUUCCCUUUAGUACGGUAGAUGAAUAUCACAAGAUGAACUUGUGAUUAACUUGCUUUUUU